rnacentral:rRNA from 1 species
GAAGGAUCAUUACCGAGUGCGGGCCCUCUGGGUCCAACCUCCCAUCCGUGUCUAUCUGUACCCUGUUGCUUCGGCGUGGCCACGGCCCGCCGGAGACUAACAUUUGAACGCUGUCUGAAGUUUGCAGUCUGAGUUUUUAGUUAAACAAUCGUUAAAACUUUCAACAACGGAUCUCUUGGUUCCGGCAUCGAUGAAGAACGCAGCGAAAUGCGAUAAUUAAUGUGAAUUGCAGAAUUCAGUGAAUCAUCGAGUCUUUGAACGCACAUUGCGCCCCCUGGUAUUCCGGGGGGCAUGCCUGUCCGAGCGUCAUUGCUGCCCUCAAGCACGGCUUGUGUGUUGGGCUUCCGUCCCUGGCAACGGGGACGGGCCCAAAAGGCAGUGGCGGCACCAUGUCUGGUCCUCGAGCGUAUGGGGCUUUGUCACCCGCUCUCGUAGGUCCAGCUGGCAGCUAGCCUCGCAACCAAUCUUUUUAACCAGGUUGACCUCGGAUCAGGUAGGGAUACCCGCUGAACUUAA